rnacentral:rRNA from 1 species
CGAACGGGUGCGAACACGUGAGCGACCUGCCUGAGUGCGGGGGAUAGCCGGCCCAACGGCCGGGUAAUACCGCAUACGCUUGUUUGAGGGCAUCCUUGGACAAGGAAACCUCCGGGGCACUCAGAGGGGCUCGCGGCCUAUCAGCUAGUUGGCGGGGUAAUGGCCCACCAAGGCGACGACGGGUAGCUGGUCUGAGAGGAUGGCCAGCCACAUUGGGACUGAGAGACGGCCCAGACUCCUACGGGAGGCAGCAGUGGG